rnacentral:tmRNA from 1 species
GGGGGCGAAACGGCUUCGACAGGGAUCGGCGGGCAGCGCGGGAGCGAGCCGGGGGCCCGAACCCCGUGAGCAAUCGGGAAAAUAAAAUAAAAGCUGACAGCGAGUUAGCACUGGCCGCGUAAGCGGCUCGUCCCUCUCCGGGAGGCCCGCGACCGGGGAAGGGGCGUCAUGCAGCGGGAUAACCAAGGCCCUACUCCCGUUAAGGCCGAGGGACAUCUUCUACGGGAUAGCCUCCGGUAGGCGGUUCGCCAAGCGAACCGGGGGCGAAAACUGAAUGGCGAAUACGCUCGUAGAGCCCACCUGGCCGGGUUUCUGGACGGGGGUUCGACUCCCCCCGCCUCCACCA